CCGGACCAAGGUUACACGCACCGGGGUUGCUCUCUGUUCCCUGGGUGGCGCAGACUUGGAGCGUCCACUGGUUUGUGGGAGUAGCAAGCACAGAGGGCAGAGAAGACGAGAGGAAGAAGCCAGCCGUGUGUACAAAGCAGCACCCGCCCCACGAUCCCACCCGCGAUCCCUCCCCACCCCCUUGCACUGUUAACCAACACAAGUUUUAAAAAGUAGUUAGAGAGCCUGUUGGAACCAGCACCGAGUCUGCGUGUUUUCUCAAAUUAUUGAACUAGAAAGAAAUGAAAACAUCAAAAUACUCUCUUUGUAGCAGGCUCGAAUUGAGCGGCCGCCUCAUUCAGCCCGUGUCUCGGCCUCGCUACAGUGAUGGAGCGGUGGAAGGAAAGGAGAGCGAUUGAAAAGGAGCGAGGCCCAGCGGGGAGCCUCAGACUGCCAUUCGCAGACCGCGGGCGAGCUCUGAACGGUCCGCUCCGGAGGAGAGGAGCGGAGAGGAGAGGAAGAGAUUGACAGGUGAGCGGCAGGGGAGGGGAGAGGGCCAGGGCAGGGGAGGCUGGAACGAAGCCAGGCUGUCCUCUUCCACACCGGCCUCCCAUGCGCACCAGGACGCCGCCCCCAAGUGCUCGGCUGUGUGACAGACAGCACCCAGCUCCAGGCGGGCACCCAUGUCAUGUGGGGUGAGGGCUGUGGCCCAAAGGGCGAAGACAAACCGGGUACCAGGAGUCCAGCCACAGCUUGCCCUGCACAGGUGGCAGCUCUCUUCUCCCAGCCCUAGGAUGGGGUGAGGUGGGGCUGAGAGAGAGGGGAUAGGAGGGAGGCUGAUGAGUCAGAUCGAGGGUGGCCGAGAUGCCUGGUGCAUUUGUAUUUUGCAGAGAAUCCACUGAGCGUUUUCUCUGGAUUGCACAUGUUAGCAGCCUAGAUUCUCUCAACAGCCUUCGGAGACUGGCACAGCUCUUCACCCCAGGGCUCAGAGAGGGAGCUGCUGCCCCCCCAUGCACACCCUCUCUGCUCAGGACUCAAGGCGCCAUGCUGAGCACAUCCGGACAACACAUCAUCCUCUUGGAAGCAAACAGUUCUCAGCACUCGCUCUGUGCCAGAUGCUGGUACAAAUUCAUGUUUCAUUUUGGGGGUUGUUUUGUUUUGUUUUCGAGACAGGAUCUCAUAGUGGAGGACAGGCUGGCCUUGAACUACUUUGUAGCCCAGGCUAGCCUCAAACUUGAAGCAAUCCUCCUGCCUCAGUCUCCCACGUGCUGGGAUUACAGGCUUGCACCCCUAAAGCCUGCCUCAAAUCCAUUAUUCUAGGGUAACCAGCCCUCAUACAGAUGGGGAAACUGAGGCAGAACAUAGGCACAUAGAUUUGAGGAGCUAAAUCUAGCAUCCUGCUUCAUCUGAGGGACAUGUCAGAGUGUAAUCGGAACGUGCUUGGAAUGAAUGGCUGUCAAUAAUUAUAUCACUCAUCAGGUACUUGCAAGUUCAUUGAUGCACACUCUUUCUUGAUUAAACUAGCAUUUUCUGGCACUCAUUCUAUGCCAGGAUCUCUGCCAGGCACCAGGGGUGCAGGGAUGGGUCGGAUGUAGCCCACGCCCUCUAAACCCUGAAAGGAGAUGGAGUCCAGGAAGGAAGUAGACUCCUGCUGUUUCCACACCAAGAGGCAGCCCUGCAGCGGGCUCUGGAGACCCAGAGGGGACAGCCAUCCCACCUGGGGUCAAGGUGGCCCUGGGGUGUGACCUGGAUACCCUCUCCUGCUCAGAGUCUCUCGGGCAGCUGGGAAGAGAGGCUGGGGGCCUGGUCCCGUGCUGGAGGACAGAGCGCUGGGCCCCGGCCCUCCGCUGUGACACGGCAGGCUUGCACAAUGAAAGCUAAUUCCUCGGCUGUAAUGACUGGAGGAAUUGCUGGCUUUUGACUCCUUGCAUAAUUACCACGAGACCUCCGUAGAGUAAUUCACCAGAUAAUUACACGGUAGCGGGUGGGGGGUGGGAUUCUUCUCUGGAAGGUAAAGAGGUAGCAUUUAAUUUCGAGGGGGAUGCCUAAUCCUAUAAUUACUCAGUAAAGUCCCAUAUUCUGCCAACUGGAUUCCCUGGGGACAGCCUGACCUGCAGAACCAAAUCAAGCAGGGGCUUUUUCUCAAGCUGGAAAUGAGGGGUGGGGCAGGGUGGGGGCCGAUGGAGCCACCCCAGAGGGGCUUCAUGGGUGAAUUUUCUCUGGAGCCUUGAAAGGCAGCAGGAGAAACAGGCAGGACAGGAUGCAAAACCUUACUCCUGUGCUGGUGGCAAAACCGGCACAGGCACAGGACACAGCACACACCAGGUGGGUCCGUGGUUCUGAGUGUGGCCACCCAGGGUCCAGCCCCGCUGGGCCACCACGGGCCACUCAGUCUGUCUGAGAUCCAGCUUCCUUGCCUGUCUAUUACUGCAAAUCAGGAUGCCUACCGAACUACCCCCAAGAUACAGAAGGUUUUAAAGGAAAAAAACAAAACAAAACAGCUUUCUCUUUAUUGCUUGUUCUUCUGCAGUCAGCUAGCAGCUUGGCCUGUGUGGUGACCCAGUCACGUGACUAUGGUGGCCAGGCCAGUGUCUCUGAUCCUCCAGGGCCAUUCCCAUAUCAGCCAGAAAGGUGCAAGAGUGAGACUGGAAGUGGACAGGGCCUCUGGAGGCAAAGGCUUGGGACCAGCGCGGUGUCGCUUGGCCACAUUCCACUGGCCAAAGCGGGUGACAGACCAGCCCAGAGCCAGGGGGUGGAGGAGUGGAUCCUGCCCCUCCCCAGGAAGCUCUACCCCGCAGAGCAAAGGUGCAAGGGUGCGGGGGAGGAAGAGGAAUUGAUUGGAUCUAUUUCUGCAAUCAAUCUACCAUGACCCGGCUCAGGGGUUAUUGCAAGAUUAAUGAGAUGCAGCUCGUGAAGUAUUUCGCACACUGUAAGUGUUCAGCAAAAUGGAGCUCUGCUUGUUACGGAGAAUAAAAAAUGAUCAAAGGAAGUUUGUGGCAGAGAGAGGCGUGGAGUCCUGGUGCUCAGCGUCCAGGUCCCCGCUCCCUGCUGCAGAGACAAUGUGCAGUGCAGGGCCGGGGCAGACCAGACGGGGUCCUGCGCUCAGCUGUGAGGCCUGUCCGGCCCCGGCCCCUCCAGGGAUCCCACCCCACCUUCCUACACCAGCUGCAUGCUAAGAACCCUGCUUAGCCCCAGUGGGCCAGGAUUUCUGUGUUCUCAUGCCCUAGCCCCAGCCGUCUGGAGGAUUUUGUCCAGCUGUACUUCCCUCUGCUUCUAUCCCAAGAAAUGUAGCUAAUUUCCUUCCACUUUUCUAAAUAUUAAAUUACCCUGUAAUGAUUCUCUAAUACAGAAGUGCUUUUCCAACCCCAUCGUUCCUCAUGGAGAUUCUGGUACGUUCCGUGCCCCUGCCCAGGUCUUCCCAGGCAGGACUGACCCCUCAGACCCUUCUCAAACAGUCAGUAUCUCUUUCUGAAAAUGUGAGUAAUGACACCCUCCUUAUGAAUAACUAAAUCAUCGCAGAGACGGCGAAGUCCCCUGCCAUCCACCAAUUUGAAAUCCCUCUCCCAGACCCCACCGCCGCCACCACCUUCACACAUCCCCACCAAACUGUGACCAGCAUUCAGACCCAGAUCUGGCCCUCGUCGAUCACAUCUGGAACACAUGGGCAUCGUCAAGGGUUUCUGACCUGUGCCUGCUGCAGGGGUGGGGGGUACACUUCCCUCCCUCCGUAACCCAUGCUGACAUUUGCUUCCCAGGUUAACCGUGUUGAGAGGGGACAGGCCUUGAAGAGGGUGCUCAAUUGUUAGGAGGGAUUGCUACGCGCUGGAGAGACGAGGGUGAUUCCCGGGGUGCGGGGGAGGCUGUUCUCACACUUGUGGGACCACAAGAGCGGGCUGUGGUAAACUGAGGCAGCCCUUGAACUUUGCCUCUCCCCCUCUUCCACUGGGCUAUGACGCAGCCCAAGAUUCUCACCGAAGGCAGGCGGUUAGUCUUUUGGAACUUCCUAGCCUCCAGAGCCACGAG
rnacentral:lncRNA from 1 species